AACCGCAUCAGGUCUCCAAGGU
rnacentral:snRNA from 1 species